rnacentral:lncRNA from 1 species
GCAAUUUCAAAUCAUCGUUCUAUAAGUUAAUUGAAACAUAUAUAGAUUUCAAAUAUAGAAUAUCAGUUACUCUUUCUAGAUACAGCAUGAGUUGCAUCUUUCUUUCGCCGGUAUGGAAGUUUCGCAGGUCCCAUUCUCUGUCUCUAAGCGUAACAAUCUGAAAAUUAAAAACAAAAACACAAUUAAUUAACACAUCACUACAUCAAUACAUCAUAUCUAUAUUAAUUUUAACCUAAGCAUACAUGUUUUCUUACUUUAGGUUUAGCUGAAAGACUUCGUCGAUAGCUUUAAUAAUG